rnacentral:rRNA from 1 species
UGGUGAAGUGAUUUGUCUGGUUAAUUCCGAUAACGAACGAGAUCUCUGUGAUGGUGGUUUGUCCUGAUCAGACUGCCGGCUCCCUCACUUCAAGCCGGUGGAAGUUGGAGGCAAUAACA